rnacentral:rRNA from 1 species
UGGGGAAUCUUGGACAAUGGGCGCAAGCCUGAUCCAGCCAUGCCGCGUGAGCGAUGAAGGCCUUAGGGUUUAGUAAAGCUCUUCACCGGUGAAGAUAAUGACGGUAGCCGGAGAAGAAGCCCCGGCUAACUCCGUGCCAGCAGCCGCGGUAAUACGGAGGGGGUUAGCGUUGUUCGGAAUUACUGGGCGUAAAGCGCACGUAGGCGGACCAGAAAGUUGGGGGUGAAAUCCCGGGGGCUCAACCCCGGAACUGCCUCCAAAACUAUUGGUCUAGAGUUCGAGAGAGGUGAGUGGAAUUCCAAGUGUAGAGGUGAAAUUCGUAGAUAUUUGGAGGAACACCAGUGGCGAAGGCGGCUCACUGGCUCGAUACUGACGCUGAGGUGCGAAAGUGUGGGGAGCAAACAGGAUUAGAUACCCUGGUAGUCCACACCGUAAAACGAUGAAUGCCAGUCGUCGGGUAGCAUGCUAUUCGGUGACACACCUAACGGAUUAAGCAUUCC